CAGCAGGAAGUGCAGAUUGCCACAGAGACAGAGCCGGAGGACUUUUCAGGAGAGACUGAUCUGGAAAUUGAAGGUUCAGAGCAGGCAGAGAAAGAUGGGGAGUCACAGAGUGAGGCUGAGGAUGAAAUCGAGAGUGAGAUAGAGGAUAGAUCCACAAGUACUGGAAUAUCAGAUAUCAGCAAGUGCAAAGAGGAGCCACCAAUGCAACCACACCCUAAAUUGUUUCCAAGGACCUGGAUGGGCGACCGGAGAAGGAGUUUCAAGGCUGACUGGUACAAGAUUCACCCCUGGCUUGAGUACUCCAAAAUGUCAGACUCUGCUCAUUGUUACGCCUGCAGACAUUUUAGCCCUCCGAAUAGCACAGACACUGUAUUUGAUUCACCUUCAGGUUUCAAAAACUGGAAGAAGGCAACAUACAAAGAGGGGGGAUUUGCAAUCCAUGCCAAAUCUGAGCGGCACACGCACGCAAUGAUUGCAUGGAAAGACUACCAGAGAGCUGUGACAUACAAUGCAACAUUGGCAAAUGUACUUAACAAAGAACAUAAGAAACUGGUUCAAGAAAAUCGGGAAUAUAUAAAAACCAUAGCCGAAGUGCUGCUACUUACUUACUUACUGACACAAAACAUUGCUCAAAGAGGACACAAUGAGUCUGCAGGCUCAGAUAAUAAAGGGAACUUCAUGACCAUUCUAGAGACAAUUGCUAACCAUGACAAAGCUGUUAAAAAAAGGUUGACUUCCAUUCAUAAUGCAAAGUACACAAGCAAAACCAUUCAGAAUGAAGUUCUGGGUUGUCUUGCAGACAUGGUUCGAUCUGAAAUAACAGAGGAAGUGAAAAACAGUCUUUAGCAUCAUGGCAGAUGAAACAAAAGAUGUUAAAAAAAAGAACAGAUUUCUCUUGUAGUCAGGUACUACUUCAAUGGUGCUAUCCAGGAGAGUUUUCUCCAUUUUGAGUCAGUAGAGAGGCUAGAUGCAGCAGGGCUUACUGAAAAAAUAAUUCACAUAUCGGAAAGUAACGGUCUGGAAUACAAAAACAACCUUGUAGGCCAAGCAUAUGAUGGUGCUGCUGUCAUGAGCGGUAAGCACUCAGGGGUCCAGGCUAGAAUCAGAGAGCAAGCUAAAUAUGCUUUUUAUGUUCAUUGCAAUGCUCACUGUCUAAAUCUAGUUUUAGUAGAUACAGUCAAAGCUGUCCCAGAAGCAGAGCAGUUCUUCUCCUUACUAGAAAAGCUAUACGUCUUCACAUCUGGGUCGUAUGUCCACCCCAAAUGGCUAGAUAUCCAAAGAGAGAUGUACGAAGGUGCCACAAGAGAACUCCAGCGAUUGAGUGACACUAGAUGGGCAUGCAGAUUUAUAUCUCUCCGUAACAUAAUGGAUAGAUUACCGGCCCUCAAGCGAGUACUGCAAGACAUAGCCCAAGAACGCAAUGGUGAGAGAUCUAUUGAGGCACGUGGUCUGCUGGCACAGUUGGAUCUAGAAUUCAUUGUGCAUCUUGUAACACUCCGUAAAGUGUUUG